AUGGAAAAGAGUGCUUCUCAGCCUACAGAAGAUGGCCAACAAUCCAACUCUGCAACCAAGGAUGUGGCUGAAGUUCUUACUAAGCACACUAAGAAGCCGAUGUUUCUUAAGCAUGUGAGGGUCCAACACGUGCAUGAGAGAUCCAGUCAUAGCGACUGUGAGGUAGAACAGGAAGCACAGAAGAGGGGGACAACCGAGCUUCAGGCCCGUGUUGAAACCUUGACCAAUCAGUUAAAGGAAUCAGAAGAAGCAAGGAUCCGGCAAGAAGAAGCAAGGACCAAGCAAGAAGAGGAGAACAGGAAAAAGCAAGUGCACUUGGAAGCUAAAUUAGAC
rnacentral:rRNA from 1 species